rnacentral:rRNA from 1 species
AACGAACGCUGGCGGCAGGCUUAACACAUGCAAGUCGAACGCCCCGCAAGGGGAGUGGCAGAUGGGUGAGUAACGCGUGGGAACAUACCUCUCGGUACGGAAUAGCUCAGGGAAACUUGAAUUAAUACCGUAUACGCCGUAUUGGGAAAGAUUUAUCGACGAGAGAUUGGCCCGCGUUAGAUUAGCUAGUUGGUGGGGUAAUGGCCUACCAAGGCUACGAUCUAUAGCUGAUCUGAGAGGAUGAUCAGCCACACUGGGACUGAGACACGGCUCGGCCUCCGACGGGAGUCAGCAGUGUGGAAUCUUGGACAAUGGGCGCAAGCCUGGUCCAGCCAUGCCGCGUGAAUGACGAAGGCCUUAGGGUUGUAAAGUUCUUUCACCGGGGAAGAUAAUGACGGUACCCGGAGAAGAAGCCCCGGCUAACUUCGUGCCAGCAGCCGCCGUAA